rnacentral:tmRNA from 1 species
GGGGGCGAACUAGGAUCGACCGGAUUGCUGAGGUGUCUGGCUGCGUGUCGAGGUUGGUCAGCGGGCCUCGUAAAAAGCCGACCGAACCCAUAACUGCCAACGACACCGUUGGUUACCGUCUCGCUGCCUAAACAGCAGCCACGGCCCCGCGACGGGUCUUCUCCCGCGAGACCCGGCCGGGGACGCCAAAGCGGGAUCGUCCAGGCCUAACCGCUCGUUGCCGCCUGGGCUAAACCUCAUGACGAGCUAAGCCGAAGAGGCCCCUGCCAAUCGGGGCUUCGAGGCCGACAAUCCAAAGACUGGCUACACACGUAGACGCCUUCACCGAUGGAUCUCGGGACGCGGGUGCAAUUCCCGCCGCCUCCACUG